AUUGAAGCACCAGCUCCUGUACGAUCACCUAAGUUAAGCAAUGUCGAGCCUGGUCAGUACCGAGACGGGUGACCACUUGGGAAUACCAUGUGCUGUAAG